rnacentral:rRNA from 1 species
UACGAAGGGUGCAAGCGUUACUCGGAAUUACUGGGCGUAAAGCGUGCGUAGGUGGUUCGUUAAGUCUGCCGUGAAAGCCCCGGGCUCAACCUGGGAAUGGCGGUGGAUACUGGCGGACUAGAGUGCGGUAGAGGGUGGUGGAAUUCCCGGUGUAGCAGUGAAAUGCGUAGAGAUCGGGAGGAACAUCUGUGGCGAAGGCGGCCACCUGGACCAACACUGACACUGAGGCGCGAAAGCGUGGGGAGCAAACAGG